UACGUAGGGUGCAAGCGUUAAUCGGAAUUACUGGGCGUAAAGCGUGCGCAGGCGGUUAUGUAAGACAGAUGUGAAAUCCCCGGGCUUAACCUGGGAACUGCAUUUGUGACUGCAUGGCUGGAGUGCGGCAGAGGGGGAUGGAAUUCCGCGUGUAGCAGUGAAAUGCGUAGAUAUCUGGAGGAACACCGGUGGCGAAGGCGGCAUCCUGGACCAAGACUGACACUGAAAAGCGAAAGCCAGGGGAGCAAACGGG
rnacentral:rRNA from 1 species